rnacentral:rRNA from 1 species
UACAUAGGGAGCAAGCGUUAUCCGGAUUUAUUGGGUGUAAAGGGUGCGUAGACGGGAAAUUAAGUUAGUUGUGAAAUCCCUCGGCUUAACUGAGGAACUGCAACUAAAACUGAUUUUCUUGAGUACUGGAGAGGAAAGUGGAAUUCCUAGUGUAGCGGUGAAAUGCGUAGAUAUUAGGAGGAACACCAGUGGCGAAGGCGACUUUCUGGGCCAAAACUGACGCUGAGACACGAAAGCGUGGGGAGCAAAUAGG